rnacentral:rRNA from 1 species
AUUGAACGCUGGCGGCAUGCCUUACACAUGCAAGUCGAACGGUAACAGGUUAAGCUGACGAGUGGCGAACGGGUGAGUAAUAUAUCGGAACGUGCCCAGUCGUGGGGGAUAACGUAGCGAAAGCUACGCUAAUACCGCAUACGAUCUACGGAUGAAAGCGGGGGAUCGCAAGACCUCGCGCGAUUGGAGCGGCCGAUAUCAGAUUAGGUUGUUUGUGAGGUAAAAGCUCACCAAGCCUGCAAUCUGUAGCUGGUCUGAAAGGACGACCAGCCACACUGGAACUGGGACACGGGCCAGAAUCCUACGGGAGGCAGCAGUGGGGAAUUUUGGACAAUGGACGCAAGUCUGAUCCAGCAAUGCCGCGUGCAGGACGAAGGCCUUCGGGUUGUAAAGGACUUUUGUCAGGGAGGAAAUCCUAGUGGCUAAUAACUGCUGGGGAUGACAGUACCUGAAGAAUAAGCACCGGCUAACUACGUGCCAGCCGCCGCGGUAA